GAUGAACGCUGGCGGCGUGCCUAAUACAUGCAAGUCGAGCGAACCGUUGGGGUCUAUGGUCGCCCGACGUUGUCACGCGACGGAAGCUUCCCUUGUGUUCGGACUAACUAUCCGAAAGGGGUACUUAUGGGGAACAGUGGCUACUAACCAAAGAUUUAUCGCCUUGGGAUGGUCACGCGUGGAAUUAGGUAGUUGGUAGGGUAAAAGCAUCCCAAGGGGAGGAUCCAUAGCUGGUUUGAGAGGAUGAUCAGCCACACUGCGACUGAGAAACGGCCCAGACUCCUACGGGAGGCAGCAGUGGGGAAUAUUGGAAAAUGGGCGAAAGCCUGAUCCAGCAAUGCCGCGUGAGUGAUGAAGGCCUUAGGGUUGUAAAGCUCUAUUACCCGGGCUGAUAAUGACAGUACCGGGAGAAUAAGCUACGGCUAACUCCGUG
rnacentral:rRNA from 1 species